rnacentral:rRNA from 1 species
CCUACGGGAGGCAGCAGUGAGGAAUAUUGGUCAAUGGACGAGAGUCUGAACCAGCCAAGUAGCGUGAAGGAUGACUGUCCUAUGGGUUGUAAACUUCUUUUAUAAAGGAAUAAAACGAGGCACGUGUGCCUUGUUGCAUGGUCUUCAUGAAUAAGGAUCGGCUAACUCCGUGCCAGCAGCCGCGGUAAUACGGAGGAUCCGAGCGUUAUCCGGAUUUAAUGGGUUUAAAGGGAGCGUAGAUGGGUUGUUAAGUCAGUUGUGAAAGUUUGCGGCUGAACCGUAAAAUUGCAAUUGAUACUGGCAGUCUUGAGUACAGUUGAGGUAGGCGGAAUUCGUGGUGUAGCGGUGAAAUGCUUAGAUAUCACGAAGAACCCCGAUUGCGAAGGCAGCAUACUGAACUGUGACUGACAUUGAUGCACGAAAGUGUGGGUAUCAAACAGGAUUAGAUACCCCAGUAGUC